rnacentral:misc_RNA from 1 species
CACUAUAGCCAAAGGUGUCACUAUAAGUCUUGCCGGGUGUACUAAUCUUGGUUAUAUGUGCCGAGUAGUAUUGUUGAACAUGAUUGAGGGUUAAUUAGCGGAAAGAUAAUUGUCCCAGACAUUGAGUGGGUAGUGGACAUCUGCCGUAUUAGGAGUGUUGUGGGCAGGGGUGCACUUCUGAUUGUUACAGUGCAUAUGGUACAAAGGUUAUGUAACUUGACGCUUUAUGUGUACUGUACUUGUACCAUUUAUUUGAUUAAUUUUUUGUGUGAAUUCAAUAGAAAGUGUUCAAAUUCUCACUUGCCCUAUUUUUUUUCUGACUGUUGAAUUUAUUGAUAUAACCCGAGUUGGGAGCCACGAAUUACCCAAAAGUACCCAAAUGUACCCAGAAGUAUAACAAAU